rnacentral:rRNA from 1 species
UACGUAGGGGGCAAGCGUUGUCCGGAAUUACUGGGCGUAAAGGGCGCGUAGGCGGCUCGCUAAGUCGGGUGUGAAAACUCUGGGCUCAACCCAGAGCCUGCAUUCGAAACUGACGAGCUAGAGUUCUGGAGGGGAAAGCGGAAUUCCUGGUGUAGCGGUGAAAUGCGUAGAUAUCAGGAGGAACACCGGUGGCGAAGGCGGCUUUCUGGACAGAAACUGACGCUGAGGCGCGAAAGCUAGGGGAGCAAACAGG